rnacentral:rRNA from 1 species
UUGCUAGUUACCAUCAUUAAUUGGGGACUCUAGCGAGACUGCCAGUGAUAAACUGGAGGAAGGUGGGAUGACGUCAAAUCAUCAUGCCCUUACUGACCUGGGCUACAAACGUGAUACAAUGGCUGAAACAAAGGGCAGCGAAGGAGCGAUCUGGAGCGAAACCCAAAAAAGCAGUCUCAGUUCGGAUUGCAGGCUGCAAUUCGCCUGCAUGAAGUCGGAAUCGCUAGUAAUCGCAGGUCAGCAUACUGCGGUGAAUACGUUCCCGGGCCUU